rnacentral:tRNA from 1 species
AGCUCCGAGGUGUCAUCACAUCAGAUUGCAAAUCUGAAGAGGCAGGAGAAAUACUUGCCGGGGCUU